rnacentral:rRNA from 1 species
AGACUAUUAUCAAAUCCAGAUUCGGUAUGUGCCCAAGUUCUAAAAGCAAAAUAUUAUCCCAACUGUAAUCUUCUGAAGGUGGGGCCAAAGAAGGGUUCAUCUUUUACUUGGCAAAGUAUUGUGGCCGGACUUAGUACUUUCCGAAGGGGACACAUUUGGAGAGUGGGAUCAGGUAACAUGAUAAACAUCUGGGAAGAUCACUGGGUUCCUGGGAGCCCAAAUCGUAUGGUACAAACACCGAAGGGCCAUGUUCUCCUUAAAACAGUAAAUGAGCUUAUUGACCCUGCCUCUGGGAAUUGGGAUGUACAACUGCUUCAAGACAUCUUCUAUCCAGUGGAUAUUGAGAGAAUCUUACGUAUUCCUCUGAGUGAACAUCAACAGGACGACUUUGUGGCAUGGCAUCAUACACGGUCAUAUGUUUUCUCUGUUUCUGCAUAUUAUAUUGAGUGGGAUCAUGCCCAUCGUCACAGACUCACCCGACCAGAUGGCCAAGGGGCUUCUGCUCGCAACCCUGUUUGGAAUAUACUAUGGAAGCUUCAUGUUCCUAGUAAGAUCAAGAUUUUUGCAUGGAAGGCUCUGCAUGGAAUUUUACCGGGAUUAGCCGUAUUGGCAAAUAGAAACAUACCCACUUUGGGCCAAUGUCCGGUCUGCUCAAUGGGCGCAGAAGACAUCAAGCACCUGAUGUUCACAUGUGCUCGUGUGAAGCAAGUUUGGAACUCUGUUGGUUUACUGGACAUCAUU